rnacentral:rRNA from 1 species
UACGAAGGGUGCAAACGUUGCUCGGAAUUAUUGGGCGUAAAGCGCACGUAGGCGGCUUGGCAAGUCGGAUGUGAAAUCCCUCGGCUCAACCAAGGAAGUGCAUCCGAAACUGCUAAGCUUGAGUACUUAAGAGGAUCGCGGAAUUCCCGGUGUAGAGGUGAAAUUCGUAGAUAUCCGGAGGAACACCAGUGGCGAAGGCGACACGCUGGGCCGUACCUGACGCUAAAGCGCGACAGCAUGGGGAGCAAACGGG